rnacentral:rRNA from 1 species
AUUGAACGCUGGCGGCAGGCCUAACACAUGCAAGUCGAACGAGGGGCGGACGGGUGAGUAAUGUCUGGGAAACUGCCUGGUGGAGGGGGAUAACUACUGGAAACGGUAGCUAAUACCGCAUACCAUCAGAUGUGCCCAGAUGGGAUUAGCUUGUUGGUGGGGUAACGGCUCACCAAGGCGACGAUCCCUAGCUGGUCUGAGAGGAUGACCAGCCACACGGGGAAUGAGACACGGUCCAGACUCCUACGUGAGGCAGCAGUGGGGAAUUUUGCACAAUGGGCGCAAGCCUGAUGUAGCCAUGCCGCGUGUAUGAAGAAGGCCUUCGGGUUGUAAAGUACUGUUAGCGGUGAGGCGUUAUCCGCAGAGGAAGCACCGGCUAACUCCGUGCCAGCCGCCGCGGUAAUUC